rnacentral:tRNA from 1 species
GGGCCCGUAGCCUAGUUUGGACAAGGCGCCGGCCUUCGGAGCCGGAGACCCUGGGUUCAAAUCCCAGCGGGCCCG